rnacentral:rRNA from 1 species
CCCUGGCAGUCAGAGGCGAUGAAGGACGUGCUAAUCUGCGAUAAGCGUCGGUAAGGUGAUAUGAACCGUUAUAACCGGCGAUUUCCGAAUGGGGAAACCCAGUGUGAUUCGUCACACUAUCAUUAACUGAAUCCAUAGGUUAAUGAGGCGAACCGGGGGAACUGAAACAUCUAAGUACCCCGAGGAAAAGAAAUCAACCGAGAUUCCCCCAGUAGCGGCGAGCGAACGGGGAGGAGCCCAGAGCCUGAAUCAGUGUGUGUGUUAGUGGAAGCGUCUGGAAAGGCGCGCGAUACAGGGU